rnacentral:tRNA from 1 species
GGUCUUUUAGUAUAAUGGUAGUACAACUGCCCUUCACGCAGUAAGUGCCAGUUCGAUUCUGGUAAAGACUA